CGGAAGGCAGCAGUGGGGGAUAUUGCACAAUGGGCGAAAGCCUGAUGCAGCAACGCCGCGUGAGGGAAGAAGGUCUUCGGAUUGUAAACCUUUGUCCUUGCUGACGAAUAAAGUGACGGUAAGCAAGGAGGAAGUCACGGCUAACUACGUGCCAGCAGCCGCGGUAAUACGUAGGUGGCAAGCGUUAUCCGGAUUUACUGGGUGUAAAGGGUGCGCAGGCGGGAUCGCAAGUUGGAUGUGAAAUGUCGAGGCUCAACCUCGGAACUGCAUCCGAAACUGCGAUUCUUGAGUGAAGUAGAGGUAAGCGGAAUUCCGAGUGUAGCGGUGAAAUGCGUAGAUAUUCGGAGGAACACCAGUGGCGAAGGCGGCUUACUGGGCUUUAACUGACGCUGAGGCACGAAAGUGUGGGGAGCAAACAGGAUUAGAUACCCUGGUA
rnacentral:rRNA from 1 species